CUAACAAGGAUUCCCUUAGUAACGGCGAGUGAACAGGGAACAGCCCAGCACCGAAGCCUAUGGCCGUUUGGUCAUUAGGCAAUGUGGUGUUUAGGUUGGUCUUUAAAGGCACUGCUCCAACCCUAAGUCCAGCAAUGAGUACGGUAGUACGGACAUGGCCCAUUGAGGGUGAAAGGCCCGUGAGGGUGGAGUUUCGGUAUGACAGUGUCUUUUUGGACUGACCUUUGAGUCGGGUUGUUUGUGAAUGCAGCCCAAAGUGGGUGGUAAACUCCAUCCAAGGCUAAAUACUGGCACGAGUCCGAUAGCGAACAAGUACCGUGAGGGAAAGUUGAAAAGUACUUUGAAGAGAGAGUAAACAGUGCGUGAAACCGCCCAGAGGUAAACGGGUGGAGUUGAACUGCGUGCUUUGUGAAUUCAGCUGGUGAGAAUGGCUUGAGCUUGGUCAAUUGGGUUGGCGGUGAGGUAUGCUUAGCUGCAUGUCCCAGUCUUACGGCUGGGAUGCGCGUUACGUUUGUCAAGCGUUGCGCGCCUCUAUGGUUCCACCGACCCUCUUGCCAGUGCACUUUCUCAGAGCGAUCACCACGACCGGCGUUGCUGCCUGGCCGUUUUGGUUGAACCGGGAGUUCAUCGUCCUAGCGACUUUGUUGGUCCGGUAUGGCAGGUAACUCGGCUGCUUGAUGUGUCAUGCUUUCGAGUGUAAUCAGCCAGCCAAUACGGAGCUGUGCAGUACGUUGGAGACAGCGGUCAUUGGUGUGUGUGUGCGAUCCGAUCCUUCCGGAGAUCUCUGGUUUGGUUGCUAUGUUGCCUGUUGGUGCAGGUCGAGUGAUGGCUGGGGAUCUUUCGGUUGGGAGUGACGUGUGUGACACUGAUCCUGGGCCAAUAGUCUGUGGUGUUGUGGUAGACUAUCCACCUGACCCGUCUUGAAACACGGACCAAGGAGAGUAACAUGUGCGCGAGUCAUUGGGCGUAACGAAACCCAAAGGCGCAGUGAAAGUAAAGGUCUGGCUUGCCCGGACUGAGGUGAGAUCCUGUCGUUUCUCACGCGCGGUAUCACCAAGCAUUGAGCGGCAGGCGCAUCGCCGGCCCGCCCCAUGGCGUAGACAUGGUCCUCGGACUCGUGCACCGCCGGGGUGGCGCAGGAGCGUGCAUGUUGAGACCCGAAAGAUGGUGAACUAUGCUUGCGCAGGUUGAA
rnacentral:rRNA from 1 species